rnacentral:piRNA from 1 species
UCUGGUGUUGAAUAGGCUUCC